GCGGGGGAGAGGCGAUAGCGGAUGGAAGCAACAGUACUUUGAUACCGCCGCGGGUAGAUGCGUGGGGGCUCGUAUGUGACAUCGCACGUAGUGAAUGUGCAGGCUAGUGGUGCCCUGGAGAGACCACAGCGACACCACUACUUUGGAUGGCGAGCUAGGCCCAACGAGCCAGAACCCCAGCUACAACUUCCUGCGGUCUGGUAGGAGG